UAAAAAUAAAACCCUAAAUCAACCGCCCGGCGCCGCCGCCCUAAAACAACCCUAAAGAAACAACACGCACAGCCCCAAAACCCUAAAUCAACCGCCCACCGCCGCUCCUCUUCCACAUCCUCUCUUAUUAAAUCUUUGUUCUACCUCUCUACUCAUUCCUCCUCUCUUCUCUCCCUUCUUUUUUUUUUUUUUUUUUUUUUUUUUUUUUUUUUUUUUUAUCCGUCUUCGUUUUCUCCGGUUUCGGCUUCGUCUUCAUCGUCCCCUCCGACGUCGCCGUCGUCUUUGUCCGGCCGUCGUCUGCCAUCCGCUUGCUGUAAGGUGAAGCACCAUGGUAGGAUUUAAGAAUAGAUAUAUGGUGAUGGAGGUUUUCCUGGAUCCCAAUAAAGAUCUUUCGGCGGAUGACCCAAUUAUAAUCACUCAAUUCAAUUUAUCGAAAGCCGUCAAAGAUAGCAUUCUCUCAAACUUUGGGGAAUGUGGUCUAGCAUCGUCGACAAACUCAUUCCAAGUGAAGUAUGUGAAUCCACUUACAAAACUCUGUAUAUUCCAAACUUCAAGGGAGGAUUACCAGAAAGUAUGGGCAGCCGUUACCUUGGUUAGGACUAUUGGAAACUGUCAUGUGGUGUUCAACCUUCUUGACCUUAGUGCAUCAAGGCUUGCAAAACUGCUGCGUUGAAGUGUGAUGAGAUGAAAUUCGAACAAUAUAAAUUAUCAGCCGCAGAUCGCCUCCCUGCUGAUGCCCACCAAAGAAUGCAAAACUUUCUUGAGAAGAUAAAACACUUGGAGCAUUAAAACCAAAUGGAUCGAAGAAUUUAAGCAGCCUCUGUUUCGUAGCAUCUUCUCACACAGGAGCCGGGCUUUUGCCAAACAGAUGGAUAUUUUGCGGAUCAAACAGCGCAGAAUCAUACUGGUAAGUGCUCCGUUAGUCAAGAUUAAUUUCUUUAAAUCCCUUGUCACUACGCUUACAAAAAUGUUAUCUUUCCAGGCACAUGAUACCCCAAAUUGUCCCUCUCUUUGUUGUCUCCUCGGACAAAACACAAGAUCCGAGUAUUGCCUUAAAUCCGUUAAUGGAAGGCUUCUUCUCCAUCGGACAAAAAUCUUGUAGUGAGGCGAUUUCGAAGAAUUAAACACUAAAUCGACCCCCAAAAAUUUUGCUGUGUAUUCGACUGCCAGUAAGGUUAAUAGGCUUUGGUUGUUGGAAUUUUGUUAACGUAUCGACUCUUUUCGGGGUUGAUCUGAUUAGAGCAUUAGCAGGCCAUUGCAUCAUACCAAUUUGAAUCUGAGUAGAGAUAUUA